UGAACGCUGGCGGCAUGCCUUACACAUGCAAGUCGAACGGCAGCACGGGUGCUUGCACCUGGUGGCGAGUGGCGAACGGGUGAGUAAUACAUCGGAACAUGUCCUGUAGUGGGGGAUAGCCCGGCGAAAGCCGGAUUAAUACCGCAUACGAUCUACGGAUGAAAGCGGGGGACCUUCGGGCCUCGCGCUAUAGGGUUGGCCGAUGGCUGAUUAGCUAGUUGGUGGGGUAAAGGCCUACCAAGGCGACGAUCAGUAGCUGGUCUGAGAGGACGACCAGCCACACUGGGACUGAGACACGGCCCAGACUCCUACGGGAGGCAGCAGUGGGGAAUUUUGGACAAUGGGCGAAAGCCUGAUCCAGCAAUGCCGCGUGUGUGAAGAAGGCCUUCGGGUUGUAAAGCACUUUUGUCCGGAAAGAAAUCCUUGGCUCUAAUACAGUCGGGGGAUGACGGUACCGGAAGAAUAAGCACCGGCUAACUACGUGCCAGCAGCCGCGGUAAUACGUAGGGUGCGAGCGUUAAUCGGAAUUACUGGGCGUAAAGCGUGCGCAGGCGGUUUGCUAAGACCGAUGUGAAAUCCCCGGGCUCAACCUGGGAACUGCAUUGGUGACUGGCAGCUAGAGUAUGGCAGAGGGGGUAGAAUUCCACGUGUAGCAGUGAAAUGCGUAGAGAUGUGGAGGAAUACCGAUGCGAAGCAGCCCUCCUGGCCAAUACUGACGCUCAUGCACGAAAGCGUGGGGGAGCAAACAGGAUUAGAAUACCCUGGUAGUCCACCGCCCUAACGAUGUCAACUAGUGUGGGGAUUCAUUUUCCUUAGUAACGUAGCUAACGCGUGAAGUUGACCGCCUGGGGAGUACGGUCGCAAGAUUAAAACUCAAAGGAAUUGACGGGGACCCGCACAAGCGGUGGAUGAUGUGGAUUAAUUUCGAUGCAACGCGAAAAACCUUACCUACCCUUGACAUGGUCGGAAUCCCGCUGAGAGGUGGGAGUGCUCGAAAGAGAACCGGCGCACAGGUGCUGCAUGGCUGUCGUCAGCUCGUGUCGUGAGAUGUUGGGUUAAGUCCCGCAACGAGCGCAACCCUUGUCCUUAGUUGCUACGCAAGAGCACUCUAAGGAGACUGCCGGUGACAAACCGGAGGAAGGUGGGGAUGACGUCAAGUCCUCAUGGCCCUUAUGGGUAGGGCUUCACACGUCAUACAAUGGUCGGAACAGAGGGUUGCCAACCCGCGAGGGGGAGCUAAUCCCAGAAAACCGAUCGUAGUCCGGAUUGCACUCUGCAACUCGAGUGCAUGAAGCUGGAAUCGCUAGUAAUCGCGGAUCAGCAUGCCGCGGUGAAUACGUUCCCGGGUCUUGUACACACCGC
rnacentral:rRNA from 1 species